UGCCCACACCAAAGAAAUAGCCAACCAAAUGGCUUUAUCUUGAGAAAAACCAUACCUUUGAGAAAGAAAAAGGGAGAUUCGACUAGGAAGCAAAGGAAGAAAGGAAGAAAGAAAGAAAGAAUGGGAGAAAGGAGAAAGAAGAAAAGAGAAAGUGAAGGUUCCGCCUAGUGAACCUGAGACAAGGAAGAUAGUGAUCGACCUAGUGUGCAAUCAUCGAUGCUUAUGGUCCACUGUGGGUAGGUAAAGGCAUCUCAUAGUACUUUAUUUCGAGUCGCUCUGCUAAUAAAGGUCGAGUUAUCCAUAGCUUGAAGUAUUUGUAAAUAGUGUCAAUAUAAAUUCACAGUUAAAUACUACAGACUCUAAUGUAAUCUUACAAUUAUGGUGAAUAAAGGAUAAGUUGGUUUAUUAUGGUUUA